GUUCGUUCAAAAAAAAUGUAUAUCAUGCUCCAACCAAAGUUUCUCCACCUCGUUCUGAGGACAAGCCUUCAGCCAGGUCAAAUGUACCUUGAAUGGUUCUGUCUCAACUUUGCUUAAUCAUACAUAGAGGUUGGGGAGUGUAUCUUUGCUGCUGUAGACAGCCCAAAUUUGUCCACGUUCGAACUUCUCACAUGAGCGGCCUUCAUCAAAAUUGUGGAAUUCAGAAUCAGGAUAUGUGGUACAGCGACGAGUUCACUACUCUUGCCAAGAGAGUUCAUAUUAAUUGGAGAAAAUGUUGUGGCAAAGUCCCAUGGAAGAGCUGCAGUACCAGUUCCAGGAACCCUUCUGAUACCCCUGCCUUUUCUUUUCCAUUUGUUCUAUAACAGGGGAUGCUGUGAGAAAACCGGAAUAGCUCACGUGAUGGGAUCAAAAAAUGGCACUUAUCCUUUGCUUUCGCAAAUAGACUAACAAAGCCUUCAAUUCUGACCAAGGGGUAGACAAUGACACCAACAUUCAUUAAGAAACCGGAAACUUCAACAACAUCAUAGUUGCAGGACUGAUGGUUAUCUGUGCAUGAGUUCCAUGGCAUGCUUGAUUCUUUGUAAAGAGCCCAUACUUCACC
rnacentral:lncRNA from 1 species